AACGUAGGAGACAAGCGUUAUCCGGAGUUACUGGGCGUAAAGGGCGUGUAGGCGGAGCUGUAAGUUUGGUGUGAAAGCGUCUGGCUUAACCGGGCGAGGCCACCAAAGACUGCAGGUCUGGAGGGCGGUAGAGGGGUGUGGAAUUCCGGGUGUAGUGGUGAAAUGCGUAGAGAUCCGGAGGAACACCAGAGGCGAAGGCGACACUCUAGGCCGCACCUGACGCUGAGACGCGACAGCACGGGGAGCGAAC
rnacentral:rRNA from 1 species